ACGAAGCGUCGAUUUCAACAUGGGAAGAGUUCCAGGCCGAGCUGCGACGCACCUUUGCCAACCAGCAGCGACGUCAGUGGGCGAAAGAACUUUUGAGAAUUGAGAUACCGCCUCCCCGCACAAGGCGGCCUGGGAUGCGGACAAGGAGCGCAUCUACCUCGACAAGAUCCCUAAUGCUCGCCGGAACAGCAGCACUUGCCAAGCCCCACGUAGCCCCGUCGUCCUUCUCUUCUGGCUCUGCACCAGCUAGUCCCUUCACGUGCGGCUACCACCGUAGUCACCUGCAGCUCCCUUGUUACAACUGUCACACUCCUCCCCCUCAACUCACAGUGUCAAUCAAGGAGAGUACCGUAUCGGAGGUCUGCGCUGUCUAGUUGUACGUCUCAAAGUGUAAUUUCUCACAGGUUCGGCCUGCACAUCCUGUCCUGAGCGUUCCCGCACCGCACUCGGAGUCUGUAUAUCGGCUCUAGACACACAAGAACCACCCAUGUCACGCACACGCUCACUAGGUGCCGCCCUCUUCCAGCAUCACUCGUGCCGACGAUGCACUGGUGGGAUGCUCAGCUAUUGCAGGGACCCAACGAUCUCCUGGUCUGAAAUUUCGAGCCCAGACACGAUCACCAGGCAGUGGUAAUCCGUCUCUUCUUGCAGAUUUGUCCGCUCGCUCCUUCUGCUGUAGCUGCUUGAACCCUACUCUGACUCGGAGAUCUGGGUGCAGCAGGUCCAGGGGAGUCUUUAGGCGCUGCCCCAUCAACAA